rnacentral:rRNA from 1 species
AGUGAACGCUGGCGGCAGGCCUAACACAUGCAAGUCGAGCGGCAGCGCGGGGGCAACCCUGGCGGCGAGCGGCGGACGGGUGAGGAAUUCGUCGGAAUCUGCCUUUUUGUGGGGGAUAACGACGGGAAACUUACGCUAAUACCGCCUACGUCCUACGGGAGAAAGUGGGGGACCGCAAGGCCUCACGCAGAAAGAUGAGCCGACGACCGAUUAGCUAGUUGGUGGGGUAAAGGCCAACCAAGGCGACGAUCGGUAGCUGGUCUGAGAGGAUGAUCAGCCACACUGGGACUGAGACACGGCCCAGACUCCGACGGGAGGCAGCAGUGGGGAAUAUUGGACAAUGGGCGCAAGCCUGAUCCAGCCAUGCCGCGUGUGUGAAGAAGGCCUUCGGGUUGUAAAGCACUUUUGGCCGGAAAGAAAUCCCUGGAGCUAAUACCUUCGGGGGAUGACGGUACCGGAAGAAUAAGCACCGGCUAACUUCGUG